UUGACCCUGAAUCAAGGCCGGCAGCUUCCUGAUGCUGUUGGUUUCAAGCAGGAGCCUAAAGAGAUGUCUUUCUAUGGUCUGUUGGCCAUUUCAGUAUUUGGACAGUGAAAUAAUCAAUUCAUUAGAAAGAAAUAGCU
ensembl:snoRNA